rfam:Dipodomys ordii contig_39770, whole genome shotgun sequence.
UAUUUGUUUAUGACGGCCACAGCCUAAAGUACACACGGCUGUGACUUGAUUUUUUUUUAAAAA